rnacentral:rRNA from 1 species
GAUUAAGUAGUUGGUGGGGUAAUGGACUACCAAGCCUACGAUCAGUAGCUGGUUUGAGACGAUGAUCAGCCACACUGGGACUGAGACACGGCCCAAACUCCUACGGGAGUGCAGCAUUGGGGAAUCUUAGACAAUGGGGGAAACCCUGAUCUAGCCAUGCCGCGUGAGUGACGAAAGCCCUACGGUCGUAAAGCUCUUUCACCCGUGAAGAUAAUGACGGUAGCGGGAGAAGAAACCCCGGCUAACUCCGUGCCAUCAGCCGCGGUAAUACGGACGGGGUCACGCGUUGUUCGGAAUUACUGGGCGUAAAGCGCGCGUAGGCGGGCUGUUAAGUCGGGGGUGAAAUCCCGGGGCUCAACCCCGUGAACUGACUCCGAUACAGCCAGCCUAGAGUUCGAGAGAGGUGAGCGGAACUCACGAAGAGAGAGACGGAAGUCGUAGAUAGCGCGAAGGACACCAGCGGCGAAGGCGGCUCACUGGCUAGAGAAGAGCGCGGAGGUGCGAAAGCCUGGGGAGCAGACAGGAUUAGAUACCCUGGUAGUCCACACAGCCAACGAUGAACGCCAGUCGUCGGCAGGCAUGCCGGUCGCCGACACACGAAACCGAUUAAGCAGUCCGCAUGGGGAGCACGGCCCCAAGGCUAAAACUCAAAGGAAAGCACGGGGGCCCGCACGAGCGGUGGAGCAUGUCCUUAAAUUCGAAGCAAAGCCCAGAACCAGACCCACCCUAGACAUCCUGAUCCCGGUUUGUCGAGAGAGAUUCAGUCAGUUCGCGUGGAUCAGUGACAGGUGCUGCAUGGCUGUCGUCAGCUCGCCUCGUGAGAUGUUCGCUUAAUUCCGACUACGAGCGCGACCCACACGCGUAGUUACCAGCGGUUCGCCCGGGGACUCUAGGGGAACUGCCCGUGAUAAUCGGGAGGUAGGUGUGGAUGACGUCAAGUCUUCAUGGCCGUUACGGGGUGGGCUACACACGUGCUACAAUUGGCAGUGACGAUGGGUUUAUCCCCAAGCCGUGUCUCAGUUCGGAUUGUCGGUCUCCAAUUGCGCUGGCAUGAAGUCGGAAUCGUUAGUAAUCGCGUUACAGCAUGACGCGGUGAAUACGUUCCCGGGCCUUGUACA